AAAUCUGUUUUUCUAAUUUCUUUUUUUUUUUGUAGAUGAUGUCAAUGUUACAGAUUUGAGCAAUAAUGAUACUUCAGUAAAAAGAACACAAAAGUUUGACGAUUCAGAAGUAAGCGACAGCGGUAAAAGCUGUAUUAUUGAAAACAGUGAAGGAUUCGAAAUAAUCGAAUGCCUAAAAAAUCUUAAACCGAUAAAAGCAAUAAUGGGUAUAUUUAAAGAAUUGGGAGACAGCAAAAUAUACGACUACUCAUUACAAAAAACUCUAGUUGAUUGUUUGAGUGAUGAAACAGUUUACGUUUAUCUGAGUUUACUUGCUAGUAAU